AACGAACGCUGGCGGCGCGUCUUACGCAUGCAAGUCGAACGGCAAGAGAGGAGCUCGCUUCUCUCCUAGAGUGGCGGACUGGUGAGGAACACGUGGGUAAUCUACCCUUAAGAUGGGGAUAGCUGCUAGAAAUAGCAGGUAAUACCGAAUACACUCGGCAUAUCACAAGAGGUGUUGAGGAAAGGAAGCUACGGCUUCGCUUGAGGAUGAGCUUGCGUCCCAUUAGCUAGUUGGUGAGGUAAAGGCCCACCAAGGCGACGAUGGGUAUCCGGCCUGAGAGGGUGAACGGACACAUUGGGACUGAGAUACGGCCCAAACUCCUACGGGAGGCAGCAGCUAAGAAUAUUCCGCAAUGGACGGAAGUCUGACGGAGCGACGCCGCGUGGAUGAAGAAGGCUGAAAAGUUGUAAAAUCCUUUUGUUGAUGAAGAAUAAGGGUGAGAGGGAAUGCUCAUCUGAUGACGGUAAUCGACGAAUAAGCCCCGGCUAAUUACGUG
rnacentral:rRNA from 1 species